AUGCCACGAGAGUGCCGCAGAUGGUUUACUGGCAACGCACUGUGGCUCCCCAACCAGAUUAGAAAAAUGAUCUUGAAAGGUCCCUUAAUACGCCAUAUCCAAUUCCAGGCAUGAAGUGCAGUGGUGGGAUCAACCAGCGUCUCCUGAGCACGACGAACGUGAAUCAGCCAUUGGUAAUCACACUAGGAAGAGGGGUGUACAAACGCAAUAGAUUCCACGUACCACCAUCCACUAUAUCACGAACCGAAAGCUGAGUAUCAUGGAUGUCCACAACUGGAACUAACUCACACAGCUUGAAGCCCCCGAGCCACUCUUCAUACCAAAGAGAAGUCCGCCCAUCACCCAGUUUGAAAUUAAAGCCAUCCUUGAUCACAUCCCUAGUCUUUUGGAUUCCCUGCCAAACACUCGACCCACUUCUAGUUGGUACGGAAAGAAAAUUGCCUUGCACCCCAUAUUUCUCCCUAACUAACGUGACCCAGGGUUUAUCUUCAUUCUUAAGCAGCUGCC
rnacentral:lncRNA from 1 species